CCCUCUGGGGUGCAGCAGGCGGUUUUUUAAGUCAGAUGUGAAAUCCCCGGGCUUAACCUGGGGGGUGCAUUUGAAACUGGAAGACUUGAGUGCAGGAGAGGAAAGUGGAAUUCCUAGUGUAGCGGUGAAAUGCGUAGAUAUUAGGAGGAACACCAGUGGCGAAGGCGACUUUCUGGACUGUAACUGACGCUGAGGCACGAAAGCGUGGGGAGCAAACA
rnacentral:rRNA from 1 species